UUUAGCAGAGAUGCUUUAGUGCCUUCGGGAACUCUGAGACAGGUGCUGCAUGGCUGUCGUCAGCUCGUGUUGUGAAAUGUUGGGUUAAGUCCCGCAACGAGCGCAACCCCUAUCCUUUGUUGCCAGCGAUUCGGUCGGGAACUCAAAGGAGACUGCCGGUGAUAAACCGGAGGAAGGUGGGGAUGACGUCAAGUCAUCAUGGCCCUCACGAGUAGGGCUACACACGUGCUACAAUGGCGCAUACAAAGAGAAGCGACCUCGCGAGAGCAAGCGGACCUCAUAAAGUGCGUCGUAGUCCGGAUUGGAGUCUGCAACUCGACUCCAUGAAGUCGGAAUCGCUAGUAAUCGUAGAUCAGAAUGCUACGGUGAAUACGUUCCCGGGCCUUGUACACACCGCCCGUCACACCAUGGGAGUGGGUUGCAAAAGAAGUAGAUAGCUUAACCUUCGGGAGGGCGUUUACCACUUUGUGAUUCAUGACUGGGGUGAAGUCGUAACAAGGUAAGCGUAGCGAG
rnacentral:rRNA from 1 species